rnacentral:rRNA from 1 species
UGAACCUGCGGAGGGAUCAUUACAGAGUUAUCUAAACUCCCAAACCCAUGUGAACAUACCUCGCGUUGCCUCGGCAGGUGGCGUCCUACCCCGUGAUACCUACCCCGUGAUACCUACCCUGUAGGACCUACCCUGUAGGACCUACCCGGUAGGCGACCCUGCCGACGGCCCCCGAAACUCUGUUUUUAUAGCAUUGGACUUCUGAAAAGAUAACUAAAUAAGUUAAAACUUUCAACAACGGAUCUCUUGGUUCUGGCAUCGAUGAAGAACGCAGCGAAAUGCGAUAAGUAAUGUGAAUUGCAGAAUUCAGUGAAUCAUCGAAUCUUUGAACGCACAUUGCGCCCACUAGUAUUCUGGUGGGCAUGCCUGUUCGAGCGUCAUUUCAACCCUUAAGCCCCCGUUGCUUAGUGUUGGGAGCCUACUGGAACUCUCCUGUAGCUCCCCAAAGUCAGUGGCGGAGCCGGUUCGCACUCCAGACGUAGUAGCUUUUACACAUCGCCUGUAGCUUGGACCCGGUCCCCUGCCGUAAAACACCCCCCAAUUUUAUAGGUGACCUCGGAUCAGUAGAUCCCCACCGC